rnacentral:rRNA from 1 species
UACAGAGGGUGCAAGCGUUGUUCGGAAUUAUUGGGCGUAAAGCGCGUGUAGGCGGCUUUGCAAGUCGGGUGUGAAAGCCCUCAGCUCAACUGAGGAAGUGCGCCCGAAACUGCAGAGCUUGAGUGCCGGAGAGGGUGGCGGAAUUCCCCAAGUAGAGGUGAAAUUCGUAGAUAUGGGGAGGAACACCGGUGGCGAAGGCGGCUUCCUGGACCGACACUGACGCUGAGGCGCGAAAGCCAGGGGAGCAAACGGG